GAAGAGUUGAGGUAAACAGGUUGACAAAGGAAGCAGAAGUCAGAUCAAGAGGGGCCCUAGUGGGUUUGGACCCGAUGCUGCAGGUAAUGGUGAGUCAUUGAAGGCCUUUGAGCACAGGAGUGACCCAAGCAGGGUGACGCUUCACCGCCUUAAUGGAGCCAGACAAAGGCCCAGUGGAGAGUCACAGAGAGGAUCAAAGGGCUGGCAAUAGGCCUAGAAGGGAGACGGCAGAGGGAAGGCUAGAAAGCUGGAGGCGGGGAGAGCCUUGAUCAAAGUCAGGCAGGGGAGCACAGCGGCUUCCUGACGCUGGACCCAGGUGGGGACAGAGCGGCCCUGUGAAGUCAAAGAGAAUGUUGCUUUGUUCAGCUCUCACUGGGAAAGGUCUGGAAGCCAGUUAGAAAGUAAAGAAGACGGUAAGAGCAGAGGCAGGAGCAGUGGUCCGAGGCUGGUGGUGAGAACAGGGCUGAGCCAAGCUGAUUGGAAGUGC
rnacentral:lncRNA from 1 species